GACGAACGCUGGCGGCAUGCCUAACACAUGCAAGUCGAACGGAGAUUAUUUCGGUAAUCUUAGUGGCGAACGGGUGAGUAACGCGUGGGCAACCUGCCCUCUAGAUGGGGACAACAUCCCGAAAGGGGUGCUAAUACCGAAUGUGACAGCAAUCUCGCAUGAGGAUGCUGUGAAAGAUGGCCUCUAUUUAUAAGCUAUCGCUAGAGGAUGGGCCUGCGUCUGAUUAGCUAGUUGGUGGGGCAACGGCCUACCAAGGCGAUGAUCAGUAGCCGAUCUGAGAGGAUGAACGGCCACAUUGGGACUGAGACACGGCCCAGACUCCUACGGGAGGCAGCAGUGGGGAAUCUUCCGCAAUGGGCGAAAGCCUGACGGAGCAAUGCCGCGUGAGUGAUGAAGGAAUUCGUUCCGUAAAGCUCUUUUGUUUAUGACGAAUGUGCAGAUUGUGAACAAUGAUCUGUAAUGACGGUAGUAAACGAAUAAGCCACGGCUAACUACGUG
rnacentral:rRNA from 1 species